rnacentral:misc_RNA from 1 species
GAAAUGCGAUAAGUAAUGUGAAUUGCAGAAUUCCGUGAAUCAUCGAAUCUUUGAACGCACAUUGCGCCCUCUGGUAUUCCGGGGGGCAUGCCUGUCCGAGCGUCAUUGCACACCCUCAAGCGCGGCUUGUGUGUUGGGCCCCCGCGUCCUUGCCUCUUAAAGGACGGGCCCAAAAGGCAGUGGCGGCACCAUGUCUGGUCCUCGAGCGUAUGGGGCUUUGUCACCCGCUCCCGUAGGUCCAGCUGGCAGCUAGCCUCGCAACCAAUCUUUUUAACCAGGUUGACCUCGGAUCAGGUAGGGAUACCCGCUGAACUUAAGC